rfam:Ailuropoda melanoleuca scaffold1807_66, whole genome shotgun sequence.
GGAUGUGAGGGGGUCUGGCUGUGACAUCUGUCACCCCAUUGAUUGCUACGGUUGAUGCAGCUGAUCUGGGUGGCUAAGCAGGUGUCCCUUCCUCUCUCUCUGCUCCAUGUGUGUCCCUCCUGAAGCUGUGUGCUUAGUAAGUUCAAGAGGAUGACCUUCUCCGAUAGAGGAGGACCGUUCUUUGGUCAAGGGUAUACGAGGAGAGUAGCAGCGUUCCCCUGCUAGAACCUCCAAAUAAGCUCUCAGAUAGUUCCAAGCAAUAAAAAGGGAUACUGUGCACUCUGUGAUUAACUGAAACUCAGUUUCCACAAAUAUCUGACUGCUAUCUCU